ensembl:snRNA U5 U5 spliceosomal RNA
AUACUCUGGUUUCUCUCAAGAUCAUAUAAAUCUUUUGCCUUUUACUAAAGAUUUCUGUGGAGAGGAAAAACUCUGAGUCUUAAAUUUUUGAGACCUUGUUUCAGCAGAAAAAGA